UUGACCAGUAUGAUCGGCCGGGGGCAGAGUUGACCAACGCGAAUGAUUGGGGGCUAGGGCCAGUGCGCAUGAUCGGCUAGAAAAGAUGGCCGACACCAGGGUAUCAUAUGAAAACCCCCUAGGGCGAGAACCAGACUGGGAGCGUGCCAAACCGUUGGUCAAACCGGUGAACCCUAGAUGGUGCCCCGACGGCUUGACCAAAUCCCAGUAGAAGAAUCCAACGUCUGCGCCAAUGGG
rnacentral:lncRNA from 1 species